rnacentral:lncRNA from 1 species
AAGAGAUGAAGAAAAUAGGAGGAUUUUGGCUAGAAGAAAUCGGCACAAGAAACAACUUUUGGGAUUUCGGCUUUUAUGGCAAUCGGCUAUAGAGGUUUAGAAAAGAAUGGGAAUGAAAGAGGAGAUGAGUAGAAUGGUAGGAAUGUUUCGGCUAGAGAAGAAAAGAAGGAGAAAAAGAAAAUAGAAGAAGAGAGGAGAAGAGAA